GCAGGAAAAACUGAUAUCUUCUGCAGGAAUUUGUUAAAAGUAAACAACUUAAUGUGACAAAUGCUGCAGCAAAGGUUGAUUUUUCCGAUGAGAUCAACUCAGCCAUGAUGCAACAGAGGCCUGACGACACACCCGCAACACAACCUGCUGCUGGCAGGGAUCCAGGCAAGAUUUCACAAUCAGGAAGGUUCUUCCCACACAUUUACGGGUUUUUUUCUGGGAAUCCUGUAAACUUUAGACAUGUUCUGCUUUUUAAAGCUCUGCAAAUACAAACCAAAAGGAGUUUGUUUUCCCACUGAACACAGGACGCCUAAACGCCUCAUUUACAGCCCAGCCAGCGUUUCUGAUACUCCUGUUCAUCGACCAUGAAACUUUCAUUUGAAGCCCCAAGAGGAGGCAGUUUGGCACGUCUCAAACAAAAUCUCCCUUAAAUGCCAAUUUUCACCAAUUAGUGGGGCAGACAGACCGUUGAGGCUUUUCUUAAAGAGACAGGAGCAAAAAAGACAUUUAUUCAAUAAAAAGAAAAAUGUGUUUGGUGGGUCAGCUUUGCUACAACUUUAAUCCAAAAACAUUUCUCUGCAUAUAUUCAAUAACAUUUCUCUACAACAGCUCUCACCUCUCAUAACUCUAAACAAUCUCAACAAAAUAAGUCUAGUCGCACGUCAUUCAUCAACCUUUUAUUUUACAAUUCUCUCUGUAACUUUAGUGUUUUUUCUUCAAACAUCAGGAAUAUUUGUUCGCUGUCUUUUAUUAUUAUUUAUUAAUUAUUAUUUGAAUCGACACGGAGACGAGACAGAUUAACACGGACGAUGACGAACGUUGCCCAACGUGUGAACCGACACCCACCCACAGAGCUCGUUACUGUUGAAGAAUAAAAAACAAACGUUCAGAGGCCCGGGCGCUACGAGUCGGCGGCCAUGUUUGCUGCUUGUGACGCGUCUGGAUGUGUUAAAAAAACAAAACCAGACGUUACGAUUUGGUCUCAAACUGUCAUAAUUACGUUUAUUUCUCUAAUCCGACUUGAAAGUUAAAUUUUCUCUAGAAAAACCAUAGCAGGAAGCAUUUUUUCAACGUUUUUGCUUUUGCUCAAAUGUGACCAAAACUUUCUCGUUCUCUGAUAAAUUAUGAUCAUCAUGAAGAUUUUCUGCUUUAUUUGCCGAAAUGAUGACAUCACAGCCCGACUCUCAGCACCGACGGGCCUCUGGUGGUCAAAAUGUGUUUUUCUCUGCACACAAACUGCGGUGUUUGUUAGUAACAUCAGAGGCACUUAAACCCCCCCGAUUCCUGCGCCCCCUAAAAACAAACUAAAAACCAAAACAGAAAAGUAAAAAAUAUUAAUCUGAAUUUCAACAAUUUGGCUUCAAGUUUUAACCCCAAAUUUCCCAGAAGAAGAACAAAAACGUGGCGCCUCGGUGUGAACGCUGUCCAGUGGAUUGUAUUCCAGGCUGGUAGUGUUAACUGCUGAAGGAAAUAACCAAACGUGGAAUCAUCUGCUCCAAAAACAAGAAAACAAAAACAGGAAAUCUCUUCUUUUUUUGGAGUAAAUGAUGUAGACUUUUGAUAUAAAUAUCUGUAAAUGUUUCAGUAGAGA